GACGAACGCUGGCGGCGUGCUUAACACAUGCAAGUCGAACGGAAAGGCCCUGCUUUUGUGGGGUGCUCGAGUGGCGAACGGGUGAGUAACACGUGAGUAACCUGCCCUUGACUUUGGGAUAACUUCAGGAAACUGGGGCUAAUACCGGAUAGGAGCUCCUGCUGCAUGGUGGGGGUUGGAAAGCUUCGGCGGUUGGGGAUGGACUCGCGGCUUAUCAGCUUGUUGGUGGGGUAGUGGCUUACCAAGGCUUUGACGGGUAGCCGGCCUGAGAGGGUGACCGGCCACAUUGGGACUGAGAUACGGCCCAGACUCCUACGGGAGGCAGCAGUGGGGAAUAUUGCACAAUGGGCGGAAGCCUGAUGCAGCAACGCCGCGUGCGGGAUGACGGCCUUCGGGUUGUAAACCGCUUUCGCCUGUGACGAAGCGUGAGUGACGGUAAUGGGUAAAGAAGCACCGGCUAACUACGUGCCAGCAGCCGCGGUGAUACGUAGGGUGCGAGCGUUGUCCGGAUUUAUUGGGCGUAAAGGGCUCGUAGGUGGUUGAUCGCGUCGGAAGUGUAAUCUUGGGGCUUAACCCUGAGCGUGCUUUCGAUACGGGUUGACUUGAGGAAGGUAGGGGAGAAUGGAAUUCCUGGUGGAGCGGUGGAAUGCGCAGAUAUCAGGAGGAACACCAGUGGCGAAGGCGGUUCUCUGGGCCUUUCCUGACGCUGAGGAGCGAAAGCGUGGGGAGCGAACAGGCUUAGAUACCCUGGUAGUCCACGCUGUAAACGGUGGGUACUAGGUGUGGGGUCCAUUCCACGGGUUCCGUGCCGUAGCUAACGCUUUAAGUACCCCGCCUGGGGAGUACGGCCGCAAGGCUAAAACUCAAAGGAAUUGACGGGGCCCCGCACAAGCGGCGGAGCAUGCGGAUUAAUUCGAUGCAACGCGUAGAACCUUACCUGGGUUUGACAUGGAUCGGGAGUGCUCAGAGAUGGGUGUGCCUCUUUUGGGGUCGGUUCACAGGUGGUGCAUGCCUGUCGUCAGCUCGUGUCGUGAGAUGUUGGGUUAAGUCCCGCAACGAGCGCAACCCUUGUUCACUGUUGCCAGCACGUUAUGGUGGGGACUCAGUGGAGACCGCCGGGGUCAACUCGGAGGAAGGUGGGGAUGACGUCAAGUCCUCAUGCCCCUUAUGUCCAGGGCUUCACGCAUGCUACAAUGGCUGGUACAGAGAGUGGCGAGCCUGUGAGGGUGAGCGAAUCUCGGAAAGCCGGUCUCAGUUCGGAUUGGGGUCUGCAACUCGACCUCAUGAAGUCGGAGUCGCUAGUAAUCGCAAAUCAGCAACGCUGCGGUGAAUACGUUCCCGGGGC
rnacentral:rRNA from 1 species